CCGAGAGGGUCACACCCGUUCCCAUCCCGAACACGGAAGUUAAGCCUCUCUGGGCCGAUGGUACUGCACUGGUAACGGUGUGGGAGAGUAGGUCGCCGCAGGGAA
rnacentral:rRNA from 15 species